AGAACAUACUAAUAAUGUCUGCCAGCAGUUGUUGCGAUCUAAUAAUGUGCCGUUAGUUGCUGAGCAAGGUCCAAAGGAAGUUAGUACUUCCAUUGCAUCUCAAAACUUGAUACCUGCCUUAUGUACAUUGCUGGAGCGCUCCAGCAAUGUACAUAAGGCAGGUAUCUUUCCCUGAAAAAACUGGUCUAAUUGAGGAAGAUCCCCGGAAGUCUGCAGCUGCUGCAGUGGCAGCAAAAUUAACUGCAUCAACAUCGUCAGCCCAGAUGCUUUCUUAUGUCCUCUC
rnacentral:misc_RNA from 1 species